rnacentral:lncRNA from 1 species
AUGUGGCUUCCUCCAAGUAGAUGGAUGGUAGGAAGAACAGGCUGUGGGCACCGGCUCAUGAAGCAGCUGUGGUCUAAGAGACACUCCAGUCUGGUCAGUUGUAUGCUGCUGCUGCUGCUGCUGCUUAAUCACUUCAGUCCAACUCUCUGUGACCCAACGGACUGCAGCCCACCAAGCUCCUCUGUCCUUGGGAUUCUCUAGGCAAGAGUACUGGUGUGAGUGUUCAGUUGUAUAUGGGCCAUCUAUUAACACACUUGCUCUUGAAUUUUUUGCACUCAUUUACAUAUUUAUCUCAGUGUUUUUAUGUUCUUUUCAUAUUUAUUUUUGUAUUUUGCUAUUAAAAAUGUAAGUUCCUUGAGUGAAAUCAUUGCAUCCUGCAUUCCUUUUGUUAUUUUGGGUUUUAUCAGUAGAGGGUAGAACAAACAUAUCAUUUGCAUGCAGUGAAUGUUGGCGACUGACUGGCA